AUCGCUUCUCGGCCUUUUGGCUAAGAUCAAGUGUAGUAUCUGUUCUUAUCACCAAGCCGUCAACAUGAUUGUAGUGCUUGUUUAAUUGUUCAUCGUUUCUGACCGAAGUAUUGCUUUGGUUUAGUCUUCGACGUUGCCUUUUUAAUUGAAACUGAUUAAACGUUGU
rnacentral:snRNA from 1 species